rnacentral:rRNA from 1 species
UGGGGAAUAUUGCACAAUGGGGGAAACCCUGAUGCAGCGACGCCGCGUGAACGAAGAAGGUAUUCGUAUCGUAAAGUUCUGUCCUAUGGGAAGAUAAUGACAGUACCAUAGAAGAAAGCUCCGGCUAAAUACGUGCCAGCAGCCGCGGUAAUACGUAUGGAGCGAGCGUUAUCCGGAAUUAUUGGGCGUAAAGGGUACGCAGGCGGUUUAAUAAGUCGAAUGUUAAAGAUCGGGGCUCAACCCCGCAAAGCAUUGGAAACUGAUAAACUUGAGUAGUGGAGAGGAAAGUGGAAUUCCUAGUGUAGUGGUGAAAUACGUAGAUAUUAGGAGGAAUACCAGUAGCGAAGGCGACUUUCUGGACACAAACUGACGCUGAGGUACGAAAGCGUGGGGAGCAAACAGG